rnacentral:lncRNA from 1 species
AAAAAAUUAAAAGGAGAGUAAAAGAGGAGAAAGAGAGAGAGAUAAAUGAGAAGGAGCAAAGAAAGAAAGAAGAAAUGAGAGACUCAAAAGAGAGAAAAUAGAGAAAGAAAACCAAGCAAAUAAAGAAAAGCAAAGGAAGAAAAGCAAAGAAAAGGGAAAGAAAAAAAAAAGACAAAGGGAAAAAAGAAAGAAAGAGAAGCAAAGAAAAAAAAAUAACUAAAAGGAAAGCAAAGACAGAGAGAGAAAGAAGAGCAAAUAAAUAGGGAAGAGCAAAGAGAGGGGAGGCGAACGAGGUGCACAAGGACGGAGCCGAGGCGUGGCUACUUCAUCUUCCAACCCAAUGUUUGAUUGAACGUUAUCUUCACCUUAUGUCAAAAGAACAAGUCUAUGGGAUACUGGUAGCUUUCUCCAAAAAUCUGGAAAUUGACAAGAAUUUGGUGGCACUUACAGCAAAGGAAGAUUUGCACGAGCACAUAAAUUCAAUCAGCUAUUAAGAGACUGAAUCAAAGGAUGCAUCAAAAUGAAUGUUGCAUAUGAUUUCCUGAAAGCUGUGGUGCUGGCAAGGCUCAGAUUAGUAGCUGUGUGUUGGUGAUUCCUAAAUCCCUAGGAAAGGAUUUAUAUCGCUAGGGAAUAUAUCACUCCUGUGCCUUUUAUAUUUUUAUAUACAUUAUCCUGUACUCAUUAUGUGUUAUAGUCCCAAAUGGUUUACAUUUCAAGGCAUGAAACAGAUUCAAAUGGUCUCGGUUAAAAAUAUGUCUACCAGAAAAGUAGAUUUUUUUCCUUUCCUGUUGUAUAGAAUUUUUUACACCAAAAGCUAUCAAAGACAACGAAUGAAAUAUAUUAAAUUCUGCAGUAGAGUGUAUGCGCCAUCUCAUGUUGUGCAUUGUGUGCUCUGUCACGUUGUGCUAAUGUCACGGUUUAGUUUGAGUUUUAUAUAAUACAUGUAUCGACACCAUAAUAUUUCAAUCUUAUUUCUUGUUAUCUUACUUUAUUGCCAAUAAAUUACAGGAUUUAUAAUUCCCAAA